rnacentral:tRNA from 1 species
GGGAGAAUACCCAAGCGGCCAAAGGGGGCAGACUGUAAAUCUGUUGUCGGAUGACUUCGGUGGUUCGAAUCCACUUUCUCCCACCA